UACGAAAGAAGGAUUAAUACCCGAUAUAAUAUAUUUGUCACCUGACUAAUAUAUGAAAGAUUUAUCGGUGUUAGAUGGGGAUGCGUUCCAUUAGACAGUUGGUGAGGUAACGGCUCACCAAAUCUACGAUGGAUAGGGGUUCUGAGAGGAAGACCCCCCACAUUGGGACUGAGACACGGCCCAAACUCAAACGGGAGGCAGCAGUGAGGAAUAUUGGUCAAUGGACGAGAGUCUGAACCAGCCAAGUAGCGUGAAGGAUGACUGCCCUAUGGGUUGUAAACUUCUUUUAUAGGGGAAUAAAAUGCACCACGUGCUGGUGUUUUGUAUGUACCCUACGAAUAAGGAUCGGCUAACUCCGUGCCAGCAGCCGCGGUAAAUACGGAGGAUCCGAGCGUUAUCCGGAUUUAUUGGGUUUAAAGGGUGCGCAGGCGGACUGAUAAAGUCAGCUGUGAAAGUUUACGGCUCAACCGUGAAAUUGCAGUUGAAACUGUCAGUCUUGAGUACACAUGAGGUGAGCGGAAUUUUUGGUUUACCGGUGAAAUUCUUAGAUAUCACAAGGAACUCCAAUUGCGAAGGCAGCUCACUGGGGUGUAACUGACGCUCAUGCACGAAGGUGUGGGUAUCAAACAGGAUUAGAUACCCUGGUAGUCCACACAGUAAACGAUGAAUACUCGCUGUUUGCGAUAUACAGUAAGCGGCCAAGCGAAAGCAUUAAGUAUUCCACCUGGGGAGUACGCCGGCAACGGUGAAACUCAAAGGAAUUGACGGGGGCCCGCACAAGCGGAGGAACAUGUGGUUUAAUUCGAUGAUACGCGAGGAACCUUACCUGGGCUUAAAUUGCAACUGACAGGACCCGAAACGGUCCCUUCUUCGGACAGUUGUGAAGGUGCUGCAUGGUUGUCGUCAGCUCGUGCCGUGAGGUGUCGGCUUAAGUGCCAUAACGAGCGCAACCCCUAUUGCUAGUUACUAACAGGUCAUGCUGAGGACUCUAGCGAGACUGCCGUCGUAAGAUGAGAGGAAGGUGGGGAUGACGUCAAAUCAGCACGGCCCUUACGUCCAGGGCGACACACGUGUUACAAUGGGUAAGACAGAGGGCAGCUACCUGGUGACAGGAUGCUAAUCCCAUAAACUUACUCUCAGUUCGGAUCGAAGUCUGCAACUCGACUUCGUGAAGCUGGAUUCGCUAGUAAUCGCGCAUCAGCCAUGGCGCGGUGAAUACGUUCUCCGGGCCUU
rnacentral:rRNA from 1 species